rnacentral:rRNA from 1 species
UUGACCUCAGAUCAGGUAGGAAUACCCGCUGAACUUAAGCAUAUCAAUAAG